AUGCAGCCAGGCCAACACCUGGUCACUUCCUGCCCACUCGCCUCUGCCGCGCUGCCUCAUCUUCCUAGAGGAGAGACAGGAUGACACCUACAGCGUUGAUCGCCAACAGCGUCCCCAGCUCUGAACCCACGGACCUGACCACGGCCAGCUGGACUCAGCACCCCUCUCGGAGCUGGAGUCACUCUGUGAGCAGCGAGACAUCCACUUCGCUCUCCCCUGCCCCUGACAUGCCCUGCCCUGACAGAUAGAGCCCAACUGCCUGUUCCCUGCCGUCCUCAGCUCCCUCGGUGCACUCAGCACUCCGGGCCUGUGAGGUGAACCCCUGUGGGCCUUGCUUGAUGCUAGAAUGUCCUCCUGUCUCAGCCUCAGUGGACACCUGCUUGGGGGCCUUUCCCCACCACCCACCCUGAAGAGCCUCCUGCCACCAUCACCCGCCGUCCCCGUCAUCUUCCCUUGCUGGCUGGGACAUAGUGAGACCGCAGCUUACAGGCAGAGAGGUUUGCCUAGCUUGUGGCUUUGGAGGGCUCAGUCCACGGCCUAGGUUCUUGGGCGGAGCAGCAUGGCAGAGGGCCUGGAGAGGGGAGCAGCUCACCCCACAAGGGCAGGAGGCAGAGCAAGAGGGAGGAGCCAGGGGCCAGGGCACACCCCUCCGGGUCACUCCAGCUGGUGCCACCUGCAGGGAGACCCUGCUUCCUAACAGCAUGGCAGCUGUGAGCUCAUCCAUGGCCCAGUUACCUUCCACAUGCAAGGGACAUCUGGGGACGUCUUAGCACCAAACAGCGAGGUCACCGUGCCCUGGCCACUUGUCACCAUACUACCUUGUUACAUUUUAUUCACUGUCAAGAAACAAUGCCGCAAAUGCCUGCACUUUGCUGUUUCCUAGUUUACCUAGUGUCUGCCUCUGCCCCACCCAACACUGUCUGUCUAUCUGGCUCUGCUUGGCUGUAAACCAUGCUUUUCCCUCUCACUGCCUGGAGAAGCCCCCCCCCACACACACACACACUCCUGCAUCUUGAAUGACACCAAAGCCCCGCACUGUGUUCCAAGCUCCCGAGUCCAUCCUGCCGCCGCUGGACACCCUGGGAGGGAGUCAGGUCCCUCGGAAGUGGGGAUCCCAGCUGACAGGCAGAAGUGUCAGGUUGUUCCAUCCGGGAGUGGGUUGUCUCCUGAGGAAGAGGGCAGGAGCCAGGAAUGGUUGCUAACGCUGUGGCCAAACCAUCCCGUCGCUCCUCGCGCCAUCCUGCAAGGUUGCUCAGAGCAAGCGGGUAGGGAACUGGCACCACACCCAGGCCUCUCCCUCUGCCCCUGGCACAACUGUGACCACGACCCUGGCAUGGCGGGGGAGGUGGGCAGAGCAUACACGGGGUCCUGGUCCCCUCUGGUUUCUGUCUUGGUGUCACCUCUGUGACAAGGGCUGAGACCCAAGCCGAGUGUCAGCUUCCAGCCUGGGCGUCCAGGGAGAGGUGCACCGUUGGACUGUGAGUGCCCCAGGGUCUGCAGGACUUGGGUCAGGCGCCUCCCUCACCCUCUGCUCCUCAGCCUAGCCUGCAGCAGCCCCCAGGGCUUGUGGCCCCCUGUACACAGCAGAGCCUGCAGAGCUGUGACGUGGUGAUAUGGGGGAGGGGAUGAGAGGGGACAGGAGAGCCCACCAGGAGAGCGGCAUCCUCUGCACAGAAAAGAGGGACGGGGACCAAGCGUGACAGUGGGAGCUGCCCACCCUCACAGGAGGGACAGGGCAGUGUCUACACAGUGUCCCACUUGGUUCCCAGAGCUGGACGCUGUCAGAGAGACCCCGGCCUUGGGGGCAUUGUCCAGCCCGGAGCUGAGGUUGUGCAGGACUUUGCUUCUCGCUGGUGCCCUCAUGGGGCAAACCAGUAGGGCCAGUCCUGUUCCUGGGCCUACAGGAAAGGCCGGGCUAUUUUUAGCUGUGGGAGGUUGGGUUCCGGGAGGGCUCCAGCCAUAUUUGUCACAAGCUGUUGACACAACACAGCGUCACCAGCUGGGACAUCUGGGCUGAGCUGUCUUCAUUAAUCAAGAACUGUGGUUUCUUCCCAAGAUGUGCAGAUUUUGUGGGCAGCCGGCAGCCAGGACCUGAAACCCAGAUCGAACGUCAUAAAAAUAAGUGCUUUGUUCCCUCAGGACUCUAUGGGGGACCCUGAAAACAGGAGAUGCUGUUUUGCCUGGCUUCGGUGAGCUAUUCUUUUGGUACAGCGCUGCUUUGCCUGGCUUCGGUGAGCUAUUCUUUUAGGAAAAAAAUAUUUUGCAGUCACAGUGUUGUGUGUCACAAAAAUAAAUUCUGGAGGUAUACGCACAGCCGGGGGCAGGCCAGGCUUUCAGGGGGCUCUGCCCACAGACCUGGGGACUGAACCCAGCACCUGUGCACCCCGCCCCAUCCUUAGCCUUAUCCGGAGGAGGUUAGGGUUAGAUGAGAACGACCCGAGGAAGAGGAAGUCGUGGGAGCAGAGAUGAAUGAGACAGGGAGCCAGCGCCAGGGACCCCAGUGACAGCGGCUUCCAGGGAUGAAACCCCUGACCUGCGACUGCAUCUGUGAUCAGAAAGUGUGGACACAGCAAUGGGCAAGUCCGAGGCUGAAUCAGAGGCCAGGACACCAAGCAGCACCACAGACUUCAAGCCCAGAACCCAGGUUCAGGGGCGACCGGAACUUCUACAGGAAAAGUGGAAAACAGCUCCACAGACCCCGAGCCGGCUGAGGGGAAGCUGUGCCUGUGCUGGGAGGCUGGGAGAAUGGGAUGUGAGGGUGUGUGUGAGUGUGAGACUGUGUUUAUAUGUGCAUGCGUGUAAGAGUGCCCAUGUGUACGUGGCAGGCGUGUGUGCCCAUGUGUGUGUGACCAUCUGUGUGUGGCUUUCACUGUGGUGCUGUCCUGUGCCCUACAGGCUGGAGCAGCACUGGAUCAUUUGGACCGUUGUGUCAGCAGCCACUCUCUGAGCUUGGGGACUCAAUGGGACAGAGAGGAAAGGACUCCUGUGCCACCCCCAGUCUGUGAUAUGGAAAAGAAAUAUGUUUCCCUUUUUAACCCACUUCUUUUUUGGAGACAGAAUCUUACUAGGUAACUCAGGCUGGCCUUGAACUCACACUGUAGCCCAGGCAGGCCUCGAGCUCCUGGCAUGCUCCUGCCUCAGCCCCCCAAGCACUAGGAUUGGCUGUGUGCAGCACCAUUCCUGGCUAGGAAAGGGACACACUCUGCCCUAAGUCCCAGCUGUCGCAUGGUCUAAGAUGCUCUCAGACUUGACAGCAUUCAUGGUCCUCACUCGGGUGUGGAUGUGGUCCCUGGGGCCCAAGGGUGCAGCUGCGUAGACUCCUCGUGAGGCUGGGACAACGGGGAGGCAUCAAGGGUCAGCCCUGGGAGGAGAGAGCCAGGCACUGGGAGUGGGAAUGCCACCCCCACAUCUGUCCCUAGGCCAGGUGGAGCUUGGGCUUGUGUGAGGGAUGCAGGGACUGCAGGAGGACACAGAAAGGGGCCCCCUGGUGCUGCUGGGGUCGAUGGAUGGGGGACGGAAGAAUGGGGACCAGGAGACCAGGGGGGGGUCUGUUUCUGUAGGGAACGGGGUGGGGGUGACAGAAGGACAGGAGGUUGGAGGAGGGGAGGCAGCAGGGUCGCAGACCGAUGCCACGGGCAGAGGGAGGGAGAAGGGGACCUGGCUACGCACAGCAUGCCUGUAACCCCAGCACUCUGCGAGGCUGAGGCAAGAGGGCCUCAAAUUCGAGCCCAGACUGGAAUAUGCAACAAUUUAGUAAGACCCCGAAUCAAAAUCGAAAAUGGUCAACCAUACUUUAAACAGAGGAAGCUGAGGCCCCAGCUCUAAAACCUGCACUCUAGAAAGUUAAUUUUGGGGGCUGGGGAUUUAGCUCAGCGGCAUAAUUGCCUGCCUUGUAAAUAGGCAGUUGUAAGUUCGAUCCCUGGUACCGAUAAAAAGGAAAAAGACAAAAAAAAAAAAAAAAAGGAAGAAAGAAAGUUAAUUUUUUUCACAAAUAAAAAAUCGAGAUCAUGUAACAAGUUCAACUACCGGGUCACCAGGGGUUUGCACGGCAGCUCCUCCAAAUGCCAGCCAACUCUGUUGCUGAGCCAAGAUCUUUGGCACCAAGUGGCACUGAUCAUUCCAUGGCAUUGAAAAUGUGAAGGCAACCAAGGAAGUCCUGGUGCCACGAUUCUUGGGGGAGAGCCAGAGGGAGUCAGAGGCAGUCACCGAGCCCGCCACUACCUUGAGGACAUCAGGUAGAGCCUGGUGAGCGCUGUGACAAGAGCAAAGUGGGAAGAGUGAGACUGAGAGGGACAGGACACGCCUAUUGCUCAUGGGCAGGAAGACCUCUCUGGGAUAUGCUGUGAACAGCCAGAGCUGCUGGGCAGGCAAGGCAAGAGAGAACAUGGGAAGUAGAGGCACCAAGCCAUGCAAAGGGCCUGUGGUGAGCUGCUGGGGCCAGGCAGCUUCCAGCAGGAGCCAAGAUCCAGCUACAUGGACAUGGGCCAGGAUAGCCAUCCACAUGGUGGUCUCUAGCCUCCAGCUCCUCAUGACAGCAUGAGGAACGGAAAUGGUCCUGAGUCCCUCCCAUAAAGCCACACCAGCCAGGACAGCCAGCCGUGUCCCUGUCCUGAGCCUGAAGUUUGAUUAACGCCUCAGAGGGCUUGCAGACUCGGCUUCUGCCCAGAUGCAGGCCGCCCGGGUCAGCCAUCCCUUGGGGCCAGUGGCUGCAUCGGGCACCCUGUCGAGCUCCAGCAGCAGCAGAGCCCGUCCUGGGGCCACAGGAAGCCCCACUGCACCUGGUUCCCACGGCACCUAUGUGAUUCUGGGAAACAAAACCCCAUUUCAAGCGAGCAGCACCACAGGCUUGGUAUGGACCACGAGUUCUUAGCAGCUUCUUCCCAGGCGCCCCAAUCCCCCUGACAUGGGGUCCCUCAGCUUCCUGAGCAAACAGCACAGUCACCACAGUGGCAGUGACGGGAAAGGCAGCCUCUACUCUGUCCGCAGUCCCUCGAGGAAGAUAAAAGGUCAGGGCCCCAGAACCCCUGCCCAGCCCCUCCUGGGUCCCCCUGUCAUUCCUGCCCUCGGGAGGCUGAGGCAGGAGAGUCGCUGACAGUCCAGACCAGCCUGAACUGCAGCAAAACCCUGCUGCCUCAAAAAUCCCAGCAUAACCAAAAGUAGAGCAGAAAGGGUGUCAGUGGCGAGCAGGCCCUGUGACCUGCUGCCCAGCCUUCGUCACCUGCUCACGGUGUGGGCAGCAUCACCAGGGGCCCUCCACACGCUCCCCACCUACCCUUGCUUCCCAGGGGCCCUUAACUGCCGUCAGGGAGGAAAUGAGGUCCGGCCCAGAGCCCAGUGUUGCCGUGGCCCCAGAUUUCCUGGCCCUGCAGACUCAGCCAGGCCUGGCUCUCCUUCGACAGACGCAAAGAGCCAGCCACACCUCAGAGCCGCUGCCAUCCCUGAGGCACAGACGGGAGGGGACAGCGGGGCCACACCAGGUCCCGGGCGCCUCAGAAGCCCAGCCCAGGAAAGUGGAUGGCACCCGGGGCUCUGCCUGGCAGGCGUGGGUGGUGCAGGAGCUGCUGCAGCUGGGCAGGGAGGAUGGCGGGGGGGAGCCUGGCUGCGUCCUCCCGAUGAGCACACUCUGCUCUGUUAAGGGACAGUGGUUCCAUGUCUGCCGUGGGUGACCAGUUCACCCCAGGCAUGGGUGGGACCUGGCCUCUGCGAGGAAACCCAACUCCUGGGGAGGCUCCCAUGUCUGUCUGGGUGCUGUACCCACUGGACCCCACACUGGCCAGCAUGGCCAAGCCAGGUCACGUCCAUGGGUGCUGAAGAAAUCACCUCUGGCCUGGGGUGGUGGUCUCAGUGAUCAACUCUCAGGGAAGCAGAGCCAGCCUGAGAGUACCCGAGCUGGCUGCGGGCAUUUCCACUCCUGCAUGUCCAUGCCUCAGCAGAGUCUCCUCACCUCCCACUCACAGGGAGGAGAAGUCUGACCCGUUAGGGGGACUCAGGGAGCCGGGCCUCGGCUUCCCUGCUCAGCCGCCGCCUCUGACUCUGUGUCUGUCUCUGUGUCUGUGUCUGUUUCUCUGUCUGUCUCUCUCUCUCUCUGUCUCUCUGUCACAUGCACGCCCCUGAAGGCCAUCAGGAGGUCACAGUCCCGUUGUCACAGGAGUGCCCUGUAUGACACUGUAGUUUCCUAGUAAACCAUGCUGAGUGGCACAGAGCAAAGCAGUUCCCUCUCCACAUCCUCGGCAUCUCGGAGACCCCGGGGAAACCCCCUCACUCUGGAGGUCAGGAGAAGCCACCAGAAAGCAGGCCAUGUCUCACCCACUGGCCACCAGCAGGGCCGGACAAGACCACCAGGGCUCCUCUCUCCAGACACGGGCGGGCGAGGCGCUCACAGCCCCACGGCUCCCGCUAGCAGCUCCUGGGGCGAGGCCUGGCUGCACUCACACCCAGGCUCCUGUACCCUGCCCCUGCCCACUGUCCCAUGCGUCCUGCAGGCCCCAGGAGCCCGGCUGUCCCUCGCCCAGACAGCAGCGUCAUCUCUGUGUCUCUAUGAGAAACGGCUCUGGCCCAUGUCACGCAGCUCCUCACAGUCCCCAGACAGGAAGGAGAUGGGGUCAGGACUGGAACCCAGCUCUGGCUCAGCCUUCAAUAAUGGUGGAUGGUUGACAGACUAAUCAAAGGGCCUGAGCACACCUAUAAGCCCAGCCCUGGGGAGGCUGAGGCAGGAGGAUCCUCCUGAGGUUGAGGCCAGCCUAGGCUACCUUGCCACACCCUAUUUCAAAAAAACCAAAUAAAUAAAUAAAAAGCUCUCCCAUCUUAUCUUGUGUAAUCCCUGCCACUCCUCCAGGUUGGAAUUCUCACUCCUGUUUUCAAAUGAGGAAGAGAUUAAAAGUGAGUUGCACAAUUACUUAUCGUAAACCCUAAAACUGUGCCCUUCACCCCGCAGCCCCGAGCCUGAGCACCUACCCCAGGGAAACAGAGACCUGAUCCAAAAUUGGCACUUGCUAUGGGGAAAUGUUCAGCAGCUAGGAAGCACCAAAUUGGGGUCAAAAGUCAGCUUUCCGGAAGCGGUGAGGCUCAUCUGUAUUCCCAGUGCUCAGGAGGCUGAGGCGGGGCAGCCGUGCAAGUUUCCCGGGAUCAGGGAUUUAACCCCAAUGUCUGCAUCAUAAAAAGAAGGCAAACCUCAGAGAGUCCAUCAGGCCACACUGGGGGACCAGAAACCAUGGCAGGCCCCUUCCCAGUAUCACUUGUGCCUGGCAGAGAGUUAGGAUGGGGUCAUGACAUUGUUUUGUUUUGUGAUAGUCUCACUGUGUAGCUCAGGCCUGAAACUCACAGUGACCCUCCUGCCUCAGCCUCCCGAGUGCUAGGAUGACAGGUGUGCUAGUUACAGCACAGGUUCCAGAGCCAGUGUGCAUGUCUGGAACCCAGCUGCUCACUGGCUGUGUGGCGUGAGCUCUGGGCUCCCGUGUGUGUCACCCUGAGCUGCCCUGGAGUGCGGUGAGCAUGGCGCAGGCUGCACUGCAACAGAUGGCAGCUGGCAUGGCCAGAGCCUCGCCAGAGCGACCUUCACCAGCAGGUGGAUCAGAGUCACCUGGCCCCGCUUCUUCCUCCAGGGACAGGAAGCCAAGGCCUGGGCAGGGGCAGCAGCUGGCAGGAGGCAGGUGCCUGGCGGGUGGGGACUCUACUCUGUGACUCACAGGGUGGAGACAGGACUGGGCCUCUGGGCGCCGGCGCCAGGUGUCUGGGCCUGGGCUGGCGAUGUGGCUCCCGCAGAAACCAGGAGCGGGGACCCUGGCCAUCUGGAUCGUAUCCCGCCCCGCGACACCAUGACGGUGGCAGACAGGAGAAGGAGAGGCCAAGGGUUCAGUCAGCUGGGCUCUGCCAGCCACAUGGCCUGGGACUGCUGUGGGGUCCACACUCGGUGUCCUGGCAUGACACCCCCCCACCAGGCCGGGCACAGAAGGGCCACGAGCACCACACCAGUGCUUCACCUGCCCUUGGGCACCUGGCAUCCCCAAUGGGAGCGCAUCACAUGGAGAGACGAGAACAACCCGGUCCCUCUGGGGAAAGGUGCUGGGAGGGCGAAGUCACCAUCGCCAAAGCCGGGGCUCUGCUGCAGGACUCACUAUGCAGCUCCGGCUGGCCUUGAAUUCACUAUGGAACCCAGGCUGGCCUCAGCCUCUCAGCGAUCCUCCUGCUCAGCCUCCUGGGCGCUGGGAUUAUAGGAUAGUCCUCCUCCAUCAGCUCUCUACCUUCGGCCCGGGGCUGUUUCGCUUCUCACUGACGCUAAGCGCUGAACAGGACAAGGUCUUGCCCCUGCUGUCUCUGAGGCAAGUGCUCCCCUUUCCACACCCCUGCCCUGGCGCUGCACCCAGCCUUCCUAUCUGUCCUGUCCCUCACCUGCAGCACACCCCAUGCCUUCAGUGGCCUCUGUGGCCACCUGCCCUGUAAUAGUGGCACCUGGCCUCGGUCAGCUUUCUGUCACUGGACGACACACUGCCACCUACAGGUGAGGGAGGAGCUGGUCCUCAGGCUCAGGGCCUCAGGGGACGGUUGCUGCUCCGGCUCCGGGCAGGAACAGCAAGGCAAAGGGGCCUGGCAGGGCAACACGCUCACCUCACAGUGCUCAAGGAACAGCAGAAAGGAAGGGACCAGGCCAGGAGGAUACGGCACCUGAGCCACACCUCCAGAGCCCGCCCAGCCCCGAAGCAGCCGUGCUGAUGCCUGGACAGUGGCCAGGCCCAUCAAGUGGACGACAUGGGCCUCGCCCUCCUGGAGCUGCUGCUGCUGGCAGCUCCCGGUGUCUGCUUUCUCACUUCCUCCUCACAGGAAACUCGUGGGCUUUGGUCAGUGACAACAAGGAACACGAGACUCUAAGGGGCUGAGAAACUGUCCCCACCUGACACAGCAGGAGUAGCAGGCUGGCACUGCAAGUCCCAUCUCUCAGGCACCCUGGAAGCCUGGGCUCUGGGGCUCCAGCCAGUCCUGCCUCAGUUCCCCACAUCCCUUGGGUGUUUAGUGGUGGCUGUUGCAUUGGAGGGGUGGCGUGGGACGGACUGGCCAGUGCUCCCAGGAGCACAGUACUGGGCGUGGUGGCCGCCUGAGCCAGGCUGGCCCUGAUCGCUCUGUGGCAGUCUCAUCCUCUUCCUCCCCGCCCAUCGCAUCCUUUGGGCAGGGACAGGCCUGGGGGAGUUGCAGGGACGUAGAAGUCGCCUGCCUGCAGGACUGGGGUUUUCCAGGCCCCACCCUCCAGUGCCUCCUCCAGGUUUGACUGGGCAGUGUCGUGGUGACCCUGCCCACCACAUCCCAGGAAGUGGCUGGCAACAGGCAUGCCCUGCAAGUUCCUACCUCAGGGGCUGGGGGUGGACAGCAGGGUGAGCAUAGUCUGGCUCCAGACAGAGCCCAGGAAUGCUGGGCUGGGCAAGGGGAGCAUUUGUGUACUGUCCUCGCGGUCUGUCCUUGGAGCGGCUCUGUGGUGAGACAGGCUGCAGGGCUGGGGCAUUGGUGCCACCUGGCUACCCAGGCCUGCAGCACCCUCUGCCUGGUGGUAGGGCAGUGCUUACAAGUGUGGGUGCAGAGAGGGUGCAGAGGUCAGGGGCACAGGUGCGGGGCGGGGGGGGCAGAGGUCAGCGAGUGGGUUUGGGUGGUGGUCAGCCAGGCCCCUGGGGGAGCUGGGCUGCCCAGCUCUGCCCACAGAGAGCUCCGCCCACCACCUAGCUCCUCCUGGACCACACGUGCCAUCUCCCACGCACAGCUGCGGGGCUGCUGGCACUGUCCUGGUCCCCAGGGCCACAUGGCUACUGGACCCCAGGAGUAUGAACCCGGAUCCCGGGUGCCAGGACCUGUCCCAUAAACCUUGCCCUGCAGGGCCUCGGGAUGCUCCAGUGAAGGUUUCCCCAGCUGCCCAGUGCCUGGCCCCUGGCCAUCUGCGCCAGGCUAGUUGCCUGGCAGCAGUAAACUCCCACCUAAUCCCUCCUGAGGAGGCUGAUCCGGUGUGACCAGGAAGAGGCUGGAACAUCCACUCCCUCACUUCUUCCCUGAAUGCUUCAGAUGCGGGGGGGGGGGGGGCUGACCAGUGAGGUGGUAUGACCCCAGCUUUUCCGGGUUGGUUUGUUUCAAUAAACUUCUUGCCUUG